rnacentral:lncRNA from 1 species
UUCCUAGCCCCUACCCCUUCCCAUCCCCUACUUUUCAUAGCCAGAGGGUCGUAAACUACUUCCGAAAGUUCCACAUUCCAUGUCAUCUUUCCGCGGUUUAAAAUUUUUUUGAUCGUCAGUCUGUUUUGUUUUCCUUGCCAUCAUGCUUGCCAUCCGUGGUGAUGACUUAUUGUCUGUGCAUGGCAUGUACAACAAUUACAAAUGUGGACAGGGAACCAUAAUCUGACUGAAUGGUCGAUUGAAAUCUGUACCCUCCAUUAAGGUAACUUUAAGUGAUAAAACAGUGAGCUCUUUUUUUGCUCGUGACUUACAUCAACAUUCUACAUCCACUCCUCAUUCUAUCACAAUCAGUUGGUCACGAAUGAAAUCAACAUUCUAAAUUCAAUUUUUUUUUACACUUUGAGUGGUGAUGUGGGCUACGACUUCUAUCUUACUAGGCAACUACAAGUUAUACCACAAAGGAUUCCCUCUGACUCAAAGGUCUCAUGACGGAUAAAAAAGUGGAUCCACUUCUCAUUCUAACACCCUACAUGGAAAUUCAGAAUUGUCUGUUUUCCUUGCAACAGCAAGCUAUACAACAGUGUGGACUCCUACUUUGGUCGUGGCUGAGAUCAACAUGGUAGAUCAACUUCUCUAUAUAACACCCUCAGUGGUGAUCUUGACUUCACAGUCAUCUGUACCCUCCGUAAGCGUUAUUAUGGUUUCAAUCGGUUUUAAUUGAAUAUUAAAUUGUAAUUUUUUUUUCAAUGAUUGGAAAACAUGUGAUGAAACAGUGAACUUUGAUAAUUUUUCACAUCUAUCUGGUAUUUCCACUUCUCAUCCUAACGCCAUCCCAGUUACUUUUGAUUUUCUUAUCUCUCCGUAAGCAUCACUUGCUUUUAGAAUAGUUGACCAAAGGAGUCCAAAGUUAUAUCACUAGUAGUUCCCUAAUAGUGAAACACAAUAAUUAAUAAUUUGAUUUUCCACUAAACUUUAAGUAAAUAAAUUCUUACAGAGAGAAGAGAUAAUUCUAAAUCUCCUUGAAGGACGUUAGAAUGAGAAGUUGAUAUACCAUUUUGAUCCAAGUCAUGACCGAAGGAGUCCAAUGUUGUGUCACUUGUAGCUUCCUAAUAUUGAAACACAAUAAAUUGAAACUUGAUAUUCAACUUAACACAA